UGUCGAUGUAUUUCAUAUCAAUCCCCAGUUCAUACGCUACGACCUGGGCGACCUAGGAGAAUUAAUUUUUAUAGCAGAUCAGCGAACCUAAUAGCUCAGUUUUUAAUUGUUUCGAUUACUGCUCUCAUAACCAAACACGCUUGGAGAUGUUUGAAUCUGGCCGGCAUAUAUGAUAAUUGUGUGCCUGAUGCCCAAGCGUUAAUUCCCCGCUGAUUUUGCGUGGAGCACUAGCAAUGGCCGCAUCCGCAUCGCCGACAGUAAUUGUUGGGGCACUCUCAUAAAAGGAAUUUUCCCGUAUGGCAUCCUGUACGCAAUCUGAAUCAAAUUAAUAUUACUAUUACCUGCAACUACGAUUGCGACUGGCUGUCCUGCGUAUAAAGACUGUCGAAUGACCAGUAGUUCCUCAGGAGGAGUCGGAUAACUUGGAUCAUUCUGCGGAAAUAUGUUGUUCACACCAGGGAUAUCGGGUGCGGUAAAAAC